rnacentral:rRNA from 1 species
CACGGGGGGAGCAAGCGUUGUUCGGAAUCACUGGGCGUAAAGGGUGUCUAGGCGGUCAGGUAAGUGAGAUGUGAAAUGCCCCGGCUUACCCGGGGACCUGCAUCUCAUACUGCCUGGCUUGAGUAUGGGAGAGGAUGAGGGAAUUCCUGGUGUAGCGGUGAAAUGCGUAGAUAUCAGGAGGAACACCGGUGGCGAAAGCGGGUCUCUGGGCCGAUACUGACGCUGAGGAGCGAAAGCGUGGGGAGCGAACAGG